GUUUGAUGAUUGGGGAAAUCAUUCUUUUUGUGUUAUAUGCAGUUGUGUGAGUCUCCUGAUGGGUAUGAAUGCAAAUAUUGAUUGACAGGAAUGGGGUUUGACUACCCAGCUAAGAACGUUGCUAUAAAUGAUGUUGUGAUUCCAGCCUUUGGCGUGGCAAAUAUUGUUGUAGAAUAGGGUGGAUUAUGUUAUAGACAAUAGGACUAGCCUUCCUUUUCUAGUUCUCUGAAAUAUUAGAACUAAGUUCCUAUCGCAUAUGAGUUUCAUAUUAACGGGUUUUUUUAUUUUUAGGAAAGUGAUUAUUGUUUGUUACUUAAUAAUGGAUGAAUGCAUGUUUCUCUAUAAAGAUGAGAAGAGUUAUUUUUGCUCAUGAUAUGUGCUCUUUAUUACAGAUUUGUCCAGUUUGUGCAAUGAGGGCGG
rnacentral:misc_RNA from 1 species